ensembl:lncRNA
GCAAGCAGUGGACGGGCGAGCACUCGCCCGCGCCAGGAGAAGGGGCGCAGCGCAGCCGCCGACACCCGUGCGGCCCUCGGCAGACGCCGGCUACCUGUCGGUGCGCCUCGGGGUCGGACGGCCCACCGGUAGUGCCGAGGGGCGGGGGCUCGGGGGACUCGGCCCCUCCCCAGGCCCCAGGCUUCUGCCCGGAGGGCGGCCACUUCCCACCCUCCCUCUCCCCCUGCUGGCCGAGCACACCGCGGGCGGGCUCCGGGGCCCGGAGCUGCCCACCGCCCACCCCCGCCUCGCAGCCGGCGCCCAGGUCUCUCUUCCCAGCCACUCUCCCCCGCAACUUUCCGCGCUUUGUUCUCCCGCUGGAAAUGAUUUACGGAAGCGUCUUGGACAGGGUCUCCGCCAGGCGGCAAGAGCCCAGCGCUGAGAUGUGUUACAUUCUCAUCUACCCAUCAAUUAUGGAUGGAAACAAAUAAGGAAGAGUCAAUUUUGCAUGAGCUCCUUCUCCGGCGGCCAGAGGCAUCCGCAGCCGGGAGGGAGCCGCCGCGCGCGUCGGCAGCCGCUGGCAGGGGGAUGGUGAGGAGAAGGUAGGGAAACUUUUAUUUCCCGUCUUGACAGCGGUGGUGUUUGUUCCUGGUGUGCAGAAACUGAUACUGCAGCUGCCUUGGGUAAUUUGGAAGGGCUUAAAGCUUCCUCUAUCAUGUAUAACGCUUGGAUUGAAAUAAAAGGUCAUAAAAACUUGAAGGUGUGGAUGAGAACUGGGUUUGAAAAUUUUUUGCCCUAUAGACUCUUGGGACCACUGGUGUCAGGUGAUUCUUUAAAUCCCGAACUUGUGAAGAGCUAAACGCCAAGGAGCUAGAGAUGAGUGAGGCAGCAGUGUUAGAGAAACAGAGUAAUGCUCUCCGUUCCGAGGGGACCAGUCAGUAACCCAAGUUCCAGCAUCCCAACCUCUCACCGCGUUCAGCUGGGAGAUUCACAGAGAAGGAUUAUUAUAGAUAUACAGACUUGGUAAACAGUCAUUGGCUAUUAUGUCCAUUGCUAUGGGCGACUGCUUUCCCUUAAAAAUAACCGUAGUGUUUCCAGUUACUUGGGAGAAGAAAUGACUGGGACAGUUUUCCCAAGAACUUCUGGAUCCUAAGAAUUUAAAUCUGCGGUAAAAUGUUGAGUUGCUUUUUAAGGAUUAUCCUUCCCUCUACUUGAUAUUUGGGCCAGUAAAGUGGAUUCUUUUAUUCAAGGCUGAAGUCCGAGGGAAAGGUUUACCAUUUUUCUAAUCUGCUUUGGUCUCCCCUCCCUGCCCAGAAUUGGACAGAUACUUGUUUGGAGAAAUUUUUCAAGGUUUCUUUCUUGUAGAAUUGAGAAAUCUUAUCCCAGACAGCUCAAGGUGAGGAUUUUACUGUUCUUUUGGUGGUUUAACAAUAGGUUUUGAUGCUGGCUUAUUCAUGUGGUUGAAAAAUCCCUUCCCUCUCUUUGGUAUCUAACUCAAGAAAUUAAGCUGUGUGUAGUCAUGUUUAAUGUAGUAAGUGACAGGCAUAUUCUGUCAGGCUGGUGAGUACUUUACAGACAUUUAGCUGGCUCAGAUAAAUAGAAAUUGCUAAACAAGUUCUGAGAUGUAAGCCUAUGUUACCAUGAACUUGAACAAGUAAACUGUAGCCCAGCCAUAACUUGAGUUUUGUAUUUUAUAGUUGGUGUCUGCUUUGAUUUAGGUGCCUAGAUUGUUCCCUUAGAAAGACAGUUAAGUCAAAAAGUCCCUGAGAUUUCCAAAUGUGUUGUUUAGCAGACUGUUUUUUUCCAGUGGUAUAUUUGGUGAGAUUUUGACAGCCAGCACCUAGCUGGGACUGGAUUCUAGUUGUUACCUGUCUUUGUUUCUAUGAGGGAUGCUACGUAGGUGAACUCUUUUUUUGAGAAACAUUUCUGUGAUUCAGGACAGUGUGUCAGGAUUCUAGUGGCUUCUCCUUCACUAAACAGCUUGUUAACCUGACUUUGAUUUAGAUUUGUGGGCAUUCUGCCCUUGUCCUCUUUUAUUUAUUUCUUAGUUACUUAUUUAUUUUGAAGUCCUCUAAUAGCACCAUCUGGCCUUGUCUCCCCUCAUUUAAUGGAUUUGAAAGAUGGUUGUGACGUAAACGAUAGAGUGGGGGUAACUUACUUAGAAACCCAGUUUCGCUGCUUGCUAAACAGGAAGGAUCUGUCCAGUACCUGUUCUGGGGUAAGUAGGCCCCUGAAUUCUGUGUGGUGAUUUCUGUUUCGUUAAAGCGCACAAGCAGAGUAAGCAGGAAUCAGAGCUUGGAUUCACGAAGAUACCCAUAAUUGUUAAGGACUUAUUGAAACUGGAGAAGUUCUUCACUUCUUGCUGUUCCAUUAUAAUAAACCUUGGUAAUUAGCUUAGUCAUUGUUCUUGCAUUUGAGUUUCACUAAGUUACAAAGAGUGAAAAAUGCAUCUGAAACAGGGUCAUUUUUCACCCUUCUGAGGCAUUUUAUGCAGAGUUAAGAGCCUGGCUGAAUGCCUAACCAUUAUUGGUGUAAGAGUAGGAGGUGAACGCCUUCCUUAGCAUAUUGCAAGAUAAAAUAUUACCUUUUAUUUCAAUUAAUAGACUUUAAGCCUGCCCAUUCUAGAUUCAUUCCUAGAGGAAGCAAGAGGCACUUGGGGUAUGCCAGGCAGUCAGCAUUUAUUGAGUCCCUGUUGCUUGCGAGGAGCUAUGCUAGCCAAUGUUCCAGCAUCACAUGAGGCAGACAUGUUUCUCUACAUUAAACUUAGUGAGAAUCUAAAGAAACAGAGAAUGGCAAAACUGGAUCAUUUGGCAAGAAAUGUAAAUCCGCAUCUUUUUCUGAAGCAUGUUAUUUCAUCCUAAAGGUUUUAAGGCAAGAUUGUCCAUACCAGAUAUGUACAAGGGGCCAAUCUUCCUGCCUUCAACAGUAAUAAUGCAGUGUACUAGUAGUGUAAUUCACAUGGUGAAACUGUCAGUGGAGCUGGAGAUCUUGCUUUCAGUAGCUCCUGUGAAUGGAGACUUAACGUUAAAAUCUACCAAAGCCAGUGUCUUAGGUUGUAGCUUAUUUUGUGAACAGCUGCCAACUUCCAGUUGGGGGAAAAAAAGUGUGUUUUGAUUUAUUCCCAUGACACGUGGUGAGAAUGCAAAUCAUAUAAGCAUAUCAUAACCUUUUCAGUUACGGUGGCUAUUGUCAGGCUGACUUUUUCUCCUCAGACCUGACAGCAGUGGCAAUGCAGCUGAUAAGUGAAUCUGCUUCCAUUCAUCCCAACAGGAAAACUAGGAAAUGUUCUUACUUUGAAAAGCAACUGUUUAUGUAACCAAGAGCAAUCAAAUCAGUGCUCCACAUAGGUACCACAUGAGGUAUACUUAUUUCUCAAACUUUUCUUUUCUGUUAAGCUUUUGUUAACUCACCCAGAUUAGCAUUUUAACAACCCUGAAGUGAACUUCUGCCAUUCUCUCUACUUGGACACAGUAUGUAGAUCAUCCAUCAUUCUGUCCUUGGCUACAACAGGCUGCUGGCUCCAUCACCAUUUGGAGCUACACAGAAUCCAUCCGACUGUGAACAGCACAGCUGGCUACAGCAAUUUUUUCUUCCACACCACUGGCAGCAUUGUCUGGCUGUGGUAACUAAAGUUAACACCCAGAACAGGAAGUUUCCAUUGUUUGCCAACCUGUGCUGGGCCCCUCACCCACUUUAGGGGUGGUGCGGGGGUUGGGCACCUGCAGAAAGACCCUGCUGGCUUGCCGUGGCCUGUUCCACUUAAGAGAAGGUUUGCCUCAACCUUACAGGACUCACAGAAAAUCCUCUUCAGACUUGAUACAAUUAAAUCACCAGAAUUACAGAAUUAGAGUCAUUCAGUCAUCACUCAUCCUAGACCUUUAAAACUCAGUCUAUCAAAAAGGGGAAGAAAAGAAUGAAGUGCCUUUAGCUGGUGAUCCCAAAUGACUGAAACAGAAAAAGACCCUGUCUGGUUGUUUGAAGAAGUGAACGUAUCAUUGUUUUAUCUCUAUCACAAAGAACAUGGAAUGGACCUAAAAUCUGAGACCCAAGCCUAAUGGAACCCAGUGCAUUCUAUAACAUUUUUUAAAUCUUCCUUUUACUCAGUUAAGAUACCUGUUACAGUAGCCAUUGCUUAUUAAAGCGAGAAUGGCAUGAAUAAGGUGGACAUGUUUGUAAGGUUAUGUUGCCAAGCUUUUAAAAGAAAAAGAUUUUAUAAGUACUGCUUUUGGAGUUUGAUAUAGGAAGGGGAAAAGACCCUGAUGCUGGGAAAGAUUGCAGGCAGGACGAGAAGGGGACAACAGAGGAUGAGAUGGUUGGAUGACAUCAACUCCGGGAGUUGGCGAUGGAUAGGGUGGCCUGGCGUGCUGCAGUUCAUGGGGUCGCAAAGAGUCGGACACAACUGAGUGACUGAACUGAACUGAACUGAUAGGAAGGGGAAAGGGUCUCAUAAUUUGGUGGGAGCUAGUCUUCUCACCUCUUUUUCUAAUGUUUACUAAUGAAAUCAUUGGAAAAGAUUCUGAUGCUGGGAGGGAUUGGGGGCAGGAGGAGAAGGGGACGACCCAGGAUGAGAUGGCUGGAUGGCAUCACGGACUCCAUGGACAUGAGUCUGAGUGAGUUCCAGGAGAUGGUGAUGGACAGGGAGGCCUGGCGGGCUGCGAUUCAUGGGGUCGCAAAGAAUCGGACACGACUGAGCGACUGAACUGAACUAAUGAAAUCAGCUACAAGAUACCUGGGAUGAUGUGAUGAUGAUGGUGGAGAAAGAGGAGAAAGCAGCAACCUUGACAACUAUCACUUAUCAUUAGUCUGCUUACUAAUUUCUAGGUACUACGCUAAGAUCUUUAUCUUAAUUAUGUCAUAUAAUACUCAGACAGCUGGGAUGAUUAAGGCGGGUUCUGUUAUUAUCACUGCUUUAUCAAAAAAGCUGAAAAAGAAACUCAAGCACCUGAGAAGUCAGGUCUGCCUGACAUCUCAGCCCACCGUGCUAUCACCGCACUGAAUUGUUUUCAGGAAUCCGGACCUCCAGGCAAUUUUCUGACUCCUUGAUACUUCUGACAUUCUUUUUCAAUAAAAGAGUUCUAUUUUGAGGGAAAUCUUUGCAUUGAUUGAAAUGAUAUGUGCAGAAUAUGUAUGCUCUUAACUUUUGGCCUUUCUCUGAACAAAACUGUAUUGACACACUCGUCUUCAUUUUAAUUCCUGUUAGGCAAAUAAUUAUGACAUACCCUUCUUUUCAAGUGUCCUAGGGUAGCAUCUUCUCCCACCAUUUUUUCCCUGUUAGGUUUUCCUGUCCAAAAUUGCAUGGCACAGGACAAAUGGCAAUAUUCAUCAGUCUACCAAAAAGUGCUUCUGCGUCAGAGUGCGAUUGACAUUCAUUUCCCUCAUCUUGGCAGGUGAAGAUCCAUUAUGUAUCUUUGUCCCAUUUCCCAGGAGUAUUUAUGGGCCCCAUCAGCAAAGACAGUGAGAGCUGCAGCUGUUCAAGCUUUAGUGGCAUGACGAUGAAAAGUGUAUUACUGAAGUUUGACUGCAUAUUAUACUAUAAUAUACACUUUUCUUACCUAUAGCUGAGGGAGAAUCCUUUUACCUCUGUGAGUAAUCAGAUAUGUUGUUUGAGAAAUCAUCACCCAUGCAUCAGCAUUUUUGGUUGAUCUUUUUGAUUCAGGAUUCCUAUGGGAGGGAAAAAAAAUACACAUUACCACUACCUAUAGUGCUGAAAUUUAAGGUUUCUAACAUUUAUUUAUGGAAAGGAAAUACGGGUUUUAAAAAGUCCAAUAUGUUGGUACAUGUAUAAAAAGUCCUUGGGAAGAUCUGCAAUUACUUAGCCUAUUAUUGGAGUCUGUAUUUAAAAAUAAAGUCAGGAGUUUCUACUCAGGCGAGGAACUGGCACAUAUGAACCAGAGCAGAUGAAGCUCUUUGAGAAAAUAACACUUCCAUUCCCAGGAGCCAGCUGUCAGUAGACCAGGGACGCAGACUCCCCCCAGCGCCUACAUUGGUCGAGGCCUCCUUUGUUGUUAGAAGGGUCUCUGGAAACACUUUUUGGUCCGCAGAGUUGUCUACAUAUAUCCCCAAACCUCCCCCUGGGUAAUUGGUAGAUCAAGUAAAUAUAUUUUUAAAAGCUGUUGAAGAAGAAGAAGAAGGAGAGAUAGAAAAAAGAGGGAUAAAGAAUGUUGCAGUUGCUUCUGUUUCUAUCAUUGCUGGGGUAACCAUUUGUUCAUACAGCUAAUUUUUACCAAGUAUCUACUCUGUACAAGGAGGUGCCAGGGUGGGGAAACAGUUCAAAGAAGAACUGACAUGGAUCCAGAGCUCAAGGCCCUUACUGAGUGGUGUAUUGAAGACGAGGUAAACACAUAGCCAAAAUAAAAUGGCCAGUGUCUUAAGUGCCAGAACACACACGGACCUAUGGAAAUUGAGAGCAGUGAGAAGUUAUUUCUGGCUAGGGUGGUUAGGGAAGGCUUUGUGGAGCACUGAUAUUUGAGCUGGUCCUUGAACUAGGUAGGAUUUGGACAGGUGGACACUGAGGCGCAGUAGGCGAGGUGCUGAGAGGGAGGGCAUUCCAGGCAUAGAGAACAGCUUAGGCAAAGGCCCUGGGAUGGGGGCGGGGGUCUAGCUCACUUGCCCUCUUCUGAGUCCUGACCUAGACUUGUGUUUCAGGUGUGAAGAAGCAGUUUGCCAGGCAAAUCCACAAAUAUUUACUGAGUGUCUCUGGUCUACUGUACUGAGCCGAUCAGCAGAUGGCCCUGCAGCUUAAGCCAUCAGAAUGGAUGGGAUCAAUCUUGUGAUGAUUCAGGAGUUUGCUUCGUGAUCAGAGCUAAAACCCCCACAUCAACUGCCAACUGGUUCAGUGUUACACAGGGCAUGGCAAAAGGAUCACGUGGUUUGCCUCAUAUUACCCUGCAAGCCAGUUUCCCCCGCAGAGGGGUUUAUAAGAAUCAGAUUAGAAGUUUGCUGCAUCAUGGGCUUCAGCUUUAACUUGAAAAGACUAGGUGUAGACUCUUAACAAAGAACACGUUGCAUAUGUAGGUAGGGGUUUGGGGAGGAUGUGGAGGUAGGAAGUGGAAGAGAGAGAGCAGCAACUUGUUGAAACCGUAAGAAAAGCAUGAGUUGGACUCCAGGUGCUCCUUUGACUGCAGCCCCCAGGUGCUUAGGUUGCUUGAUUCACCCCUGUAACUUAGCAGAGUGUGUGACACAUAGUAGACAUGUUGCAAAUAUUGUAGUAAACGUGUUGAGUCUUAACUUCUUAUUCGAUUGUAGUUAUAAUCUAUCAUGCCUGGUGAAGUGUGCAAGCAACGGGGUUGGAACUCUGGCAACCUUCUCCUGAUAGAACAAGUGAAACAGUAGCAGCAAACAACUUGGAGUUACUAAUGUAAUGCUUCCCUUUGGAAGACCCCAUCCUUGAGUGACCCUGGGGAUCCAGCACCCCUUCCUGAGUCUGAGCUUUGAGGAUAAACUCACCACCCAACUACUGGCUCCCCUGAUCCUGCCUUCCCAACUCCCUUACCUCCUCCCUGCUUCCCCCCAUGCCCAUCCCUCCUCUAUGUGGGGCUGUUUGGGUAUGAGGAUUUCCAAGCCGUUAUUAACCCCUUGAGUUCCCAUAAAUUGUAAUCAGCCCACAGUUACAUUGAACAGUGGAGGUGAUAAGCUUUCUGGGCUUCCCUGGUGGCUCAGUGGUAGAGAAUUCACCUACCAUUGCAGGAGACCAAGGUUCGGUCGACCCCUGGGUUGGGAAGAUCGCCUGGAGAAGGGAAUGGCCACCCAUUCCAGUAUUUUGUCUGGGAAAUUGCAGCGAUAGAGGAAUCUAGCAGGCUAUAGUCCACAGGGCUGCGAAGAGCUGGACACCACUGAGUGUCUAAACAACAACAUAAGCUUUCUGAGAGGAAAUACCAGAGGUUCUCAGUAGUAUAAGCACGAGAACACAUACUAAAGGGAAAGUAAAAUGAAAACAAUUGCACUAGGGGAUGAUUAAGCCAAUUGCGUGGCCAAGAAAUGCUCCAGUGGUUCAAUUUUCCUUGGUAUAUUUAAGUCUUUUAUAAGUUAACGGUUACAUGACAGUCUGAGAGCAGAUUCUUAGUCUGAAGAAUCACUGCCAACGAAAGAUCAAUCAGAAAUGAUAAGAUAGGUCAAUGGGGAAAAAGGGUUAAGCAUAUACCAAUUCAGUAUUAGGAACUUUUCAGGAAUAUUCCAGUGACAUAAAGCAGAGAACCUGUUGGAUUUAAUAAUUAGGCUGGCUUCUACCCAAUUACUUUCUGAAGUGAAGGGCAUGCUGCCUCCCCUUGCGUAGAACACAGUUGCCUUCCAGACAAAACCUAAAAUAAACCGUCCUGGCUCAACUUGCCUAAUAAUAACAGCUAGCCCUCACCGUAUGCUUACCGGGUGCUGUGGCCAUGUGCCUAGUACUUUACGUAUGUUAUCUGAUUUAAUCCUCAUGCUGCCCCUGAGAGUGGAGGAUGCAUGAAUAGCUAACUCAGAAUUAGCAUUUAUUAAAUGCUUACUGUGUGCUUGAUACUCUUUUAAGUAAAUAUAUUAAAUCUUCUGGUCAGAAUUCUUUGAGGUGGGUGCUACUCUUAUUACUCCUAUUGCACAGGGGAAAACAGGGAUGGGAGAUUAAGUAGUUUUACCAGGGUCAGACAACUGAUGAGUACUAGAACCAGGGGACUUGGGCCCAUGAGAAGCAACUUAGUAAGGUGGUUAAGGACAUGAACUCUGGCACGAGCUUACUGGGGUAUGAGUCCUGGCUAUGUGAUCAAUAAACUGUGUGAUUUUGCGCAAAUUACUUAACCUCUCUGAGCCUUAGUUUCAUGACAUGAAAGGUGGACGAUGAUGAGUGGUAGCCACCUGGUAGGGUGUUUGUGAGACAUAAAUGAAUUAAUAUUUGCACGGCACUUAGACUAGUGCUUGGCCUGUAGUGCGUACUAUAUUUAUCUCAGUGUCUGUUAAGUAAAAGUAAAUGCAGUCUGGCUCCAAGGCCCAUGCUUUUAGCCCUUAUACUAUGCAGUCUUUUCACACGUGGUUCUGUCAUAUCUCUUUGACUGAUACAUAGACCUUGAAGCCAAUUUUACAACCAGCUCUCCUCCACCCCCACACACUUGCCACACAUUCAGCCAGACUGAAGAGGGGAAUUUGGCAAGAGAGCUCCAAGGCCCUAGAGAUGUACCCGGACCUUGAUGCCUAGUUGCCUAGCCCUGACCCAGAUAGCAGCCAUUUCAGAUCCAUGAUGUCAGAAAUCUGGCUCCACUGAUGGUUGGGCUGAAGGACAAAAUGUAGGUGAUUGGCAUGUGUUCUAUGCUAUUUGCCCUCUAGGCCAAUUAAAGUGUGAAUAACAUCAUGGAAAAUCAGGCCCAUUGCUGUCAUCACCCACAUCUUUGAUCUCUACCAGUGGUCCUCAAACUUUAAAAUUGAUCAGAAUCACCUAGGGCUACAUGCAGAUUCCCAGGGCCCCAGCACCAAUGGGUCUGUGUGGUUGGGUCAGGCAUGAGGUCCCAGUGUUAGCAUUUUCAACAAACUCCUCAAGUGACUCACAUUCUAUGGUACCUUGACCACAAAUGGGGAAAUGAUGCUCUGGUAUAGCCAGAGUUUCUCAAACCUCAGAGCACCUGCAGUUUGCCCAGCAUCUUGUAACAUUCAGAUUCCCAUCCAAGCAAGGUGCUAGACUUCAAGACUAGUGUUGGCAGGCCACUGGGUAGUAGGUCAGAAACCUCUUGCCCACAACACAGGGAGAAUUCGUAGGAGCCAAAGGCAACCCGGCCAGCUCAUGAAAGAGUGAAGAGAGUAAUAAAAUCUGCUCAAAGCUGAAGAGACUUUUUAUUUUUCGUAGUUUGCAAAGGAUCCUCCCGGUAAGCAGAAAUUAAGAGAGAAAAAGGGCACUCACUUACUUCUGCUGACUGGCGUAUAUCAUUUCAUAAAUGGAGUCCUGGUCCAGUAUUUGUAGCAACAGUCUUUGAUUUAAUGAUAAACUGAGAUAAGGGUAAUCAAACUUCAUGCUUCAGGGCAUCAGGUGAUUGCCUGCUGCGGUCAGGAUGAGAUCUUUUCCCUUGUGCUUUGCACAAUUGACUACAUGCAUUUGAGACAAGCCGCAGGCUGCACUUGCUAGAGUUGGGGCAGAAGGCGUGGGCAAAAAACGCCGCUGGAUGAGACCACAUGGGAAAUGGCCUUGUGUGGGAUGAACAACCCCGUCAUCAUUUGGCCUUAUCAUUUUUGUUUCAUUUCAAGAGUCUCCAUACCCUCUGUGUACAUUUCUAUAAGCCACAUGAUGAAAUCGGCAGCCUGCUGUGUCUGGAAUGACAGACUCCUAACUUUGGCCAGUAGUGGGCUCUCUGAGUGACCUAAGGGAAGCACUGUCCCCCUCGGAGGCUCUGGCUCCUCAUCCUUGGACUCGCAGUUAAAAUGAGCAUCAAAUAAGACAGUGUUGAUAAAAGGGCUUCAUAAAAACCAAAGUGCCACUCAAAAGUAAGGGAUCAUUAUGAUACAAUGAAUUACACUUUAUGGAAUCACCAUUUAUCACAAUCAUAACAUAGCCAACUCAUCUCUGUGUAAUGAUAUCAUACAUAAUGGCAGUGAACAUUUAUUGAGUUCUUCAUUUCUGCCAAGCACUAAAGAGUUUUAUUUACAUUCUCUUAUUUAAUCCUCAUGUCAGCCCUUUGGGGCACAUAUUUUUUUUUUUACUCCCAUUUUUUAGAUAAGGGCAUGGAUGCUCCAGGAGCAUCCGUUAGUUUUCUGUUGCUGUUGUAACAAAUUACUACAAACUUAGAUGUCUAAACAACAGGGAUUUGACCUGACAGUUCUGGAGGUUUGAAGUCCCAAAUGGGCUUCACUGAGCCAAAGUCGAGGUGUCAGCAGGGCUGUGUUCUUUCCAGAGGCUCAAGGGAAAAAUCCAUUUCCUUCCCUUUUCCGGCUUUUAGUAGGCUUCCUGGAUUUCUUUGCUGUGGCCCCUUUCUCCAAACUCAAAGUUAGCCAUCCUAUAACUCUGACUUCUCUUCCAUAGUCAUGUCUCCUUGGAUUCUUCUGCCUUCCUCUUCCACCUUUUAAGGACCCUUGUGAUUACAUUGGGUCCACCCAUGUAAUCCAGGAUAAAUCCACCUAUUUUAAGAUCCCUUACUUAAUCACAUAUACAAGAUUCCUCUUUCCAUAUAUUAUAGUAUAUUCACAGAUUCUCGGGAUUGGGCAUGGACAUCUUUGGAGAUGAAUGGGAACAUUAUUCUGUCCAGUACAAUUAGGUACCUGCUAGGAGCACACAGUGGCAGAGUCAGAAUUCAUGCCCAAACCUGUCUGACUCCAAAGCCCAUGAUGUCAAACCACUCACUAUAAAAUCUCCUUGAUUCAUUCAGUGAAAGAAAUAAAAUCAUAGAAUGUAAGUAGUGAGGAGGGCCAUGUUACUUUUAUAAUGUCAAUUGGGGGCUUUUAAAUCAUUAUAAUAGUAACAAUAAAAAUAUUAACCUUACUGGUCUUCAUGUCCUACUUUGUCCUAAGCAUUCUGUGAGCAGUUGUUCACUUUUUUCUUAGGAGGGUGAAUAUUAUUUACCUGAAUAACUGAAUCGAAGGGUUCCUAAAUCCAGCUGUCUUUCAUGGGGUGACUAAACAAAGAAGGAGUGGGGGACCAGGGGACCAUUUUGGAGGACUGUACAAAGGGGUUUUAAUGAAGCUACUGGUUCAGCAGAGGAUGGACGAUCAGAGGUGAUGGAGAUAACCAGGCUCUCCUUUGCUGGCUCUGACACUGUCUCUUGGCCCGUCGGAUGUGGUUCCUCAGGUGACAGUCACCCUGCCCACUCACAGCCAAAACCAUGUCCAGUUUGUGAGGCUUUCAUGUCCUCAGAGGUCAAUCAGGAAAUCAGAUGCUGUGUUUGAUAGAAAGUGUGGGAAGUUAUCAGAGAUCUCUCCCUCACUCUUUCCUUGUCCUCUCUGCUUCUCUGCCACGCGCUUAAUAGCUAAUUUGUGAGGCUUAAUGUAAUUUUAAAGUUCAAAACAUGGUCCCAUCACUGAAAAGGCCAUCAGAGCAGUUUAAAAAGGAGUGAGAGGACAGAGCUGGGAAUCUGGAAGCCUGGCCUGGCAACACUACUAGCCAACCAGCUAUCUCUGGACAAAGCCCAGGCCUUCUGUGGCCCUAGUGCUCUUAUUAGAACAAAGUGAGGUUGGGAUGGGCAUCAAACAGACUCUAAAUGACGUCCAAGUUUCUUUCUAGUAGUAGCAUUCCUUAAUGUUAUAUUUAUCUUCGUAUUUUAAUUGCCACACAGUAUCACAUCUAUUGGUGAUUUCAAAAAAUAUGAACCCGUCUCAUGAAUGUGCAUAUAACCAUCUGUACAAAGACACACACACACACACACACACAAAUAGCCCCACUUCUCAAAUUUAUUAUUGCCAUUUACAUUUUAUAACACUUUGCCCUUUUCUUUCAAGAUCACUUAAAACUUCAUUGCUGCUAAUAUAGUUUUUUUACUCAAUUUUCAGAAAUAUAUAGAUAAUAUUUUCAGUUAGCAGUAAUUGCACCUCAUUCAGCUCUCAGGGGUUGAUACGCUACCAUGGCACAAUUUCCCUGUAAUUUUCAGUUACAUCCCUGAAGAGCCAUUCCCCAUGGAACACAUAGGACAGGCAGGGAAAAUGAGUUUCAAAGUAGAGAGGCCAAGCCUGAUUGGUAGUAGGCUGUUUGCAUCGUGUGUUGUAGAAAUGUGUGGGGCUGCAUCUAAGGUCAGGGAGAAAAAGGAUACCUUGACUGAUUUGCAGAGUCUUCUAUGCGAAAUAGAGUGCACGGUAGUCCCAAUACAGUACAUUUGCCAUCUUUAAUUUAAUUUUUUGAGACAUUUAUCUCCCUUAAAACAAUCAUAUGUGCAUGCUAAGUCGCUUCAGUCAUGUCUGACUCUUUGCGACCCCAUGGACUGGAAAUGCAUCAGGCUCCUCUGUCCAUGGGAUUCUCCAGGCAAGAACACUGGAGUGGGUUACCUUGCCCUCCUUCAGGUGAUCUCUACCCAGGGAUCGAACCCAAGUCUCUUACAUCUGCACUGGCAGGCAUGUUCUUUAUCACCAGCACCACCUGGAAGCCAUCCUCAUUAAUGAUCUCUGUAUAGGUUGACGAGUAUUUAGUGCAGAUGCCAUCUGGCGCGAUGUCUCAGAACAGAGCUUGAAUCAUCUGACCUGUGAGAAGGCAAAUAAGUAACUCAAUGGAUAAGUAAACUUGAUAAUGAUUACUUUUGCCAGUUCUUUCCAUUUCUUUGUUGUUGUUGUACAGUGACUAAGUUAUGUCCGACUCUUUGCAACCCCAUGGGCUGCAGCAUGCCAGGCUUCCCUGUCCUUCACCAUCUCCCAAAGUUUGCUCAAACUCAUGUCCAUUGAGUUGGUGAUGCCAUCCACCAUCUCAUCCUCUGUCAUCCCCUUCUCCUCCUGCUCUAAAUCUUUCCCAGCAUCAGGGUAUUUUCCAAGGAGUCAGCAGUCUUGGGCAGAGAAUGGGACCACUAUGAUCAACUUACAGGGAAGAGACUGGUUUAUUAUUGAAAACAUGUUCAAAAUCAGCAUUUUGUUACAAACUAUUUGCAACUGAACAACAACAGAAUUUGUUUUUAUACAUUGUUAUAUAUGCAUGUUAUAUACACCCCACGUAAACAUGUUCAUGAGGGCUUACAAGCUAGAAAACUUUGGCCUUUGGCCAGAAAUAUUUUUCUGCCAUUAUGAAAAAAAUUUGCAUCCCUGGAACAGCACUUUCAUAUAAUUAGGCAGUUAAAAAAUGUAAAAAUUAUGACAUUGGUGGGCAAUGCUACAAAAAAGUGGACAGGAUAUAUCAAAUGAAUUUGCUCUCAUAUUUUUUUUUCUUUUUCUUCCCUAUGGCUUGUUUUAAAUGAGGCGUAAGAUACCCCUGCUAGAUUUAUACUUUGAAACAUCACAAUAAAUACAAGCCAUAAUUAUGAAGCCACGCUGGAGAGGUAGAGAGAGAAACAUUAACUCUCUUCUCCUCAGUUCUGAGACACAUGUGAGUCUGUCAUCAUGAAUGUCACCCACAUUUUUGCCUUUCUGUCCCUUCAUGAAAGAUAUUGCAGACCACCUGAGUGGAAAUCUCAGCCUGGCGAAGUCUUCCUUCGCUCUUGAGUAUACAGUUCAGCCUCUUUUUCUGUUACAGUAAUGCAGUGAAUCAGAUUCUAAAGCCCCAUAAAAGAUAGGUGAGGAGGCUUCUCCUUUUCCUGUCUUUAUCCAAAUUUGCAAUAAGCUAUAAAAUUAACCACCUAGAUUUUCAAUAUCAGAAAUUUCUACUUUCAGGGUUUUAUGACUGCAUUUUUGCUCACCAAAGUGAAACUUCACUCAGUCCUUAUCAGAUAAAAGUCUCAUUCCUUAAAGGCAGGCCGUAGCCCUUGCUCUGCUAUUUUGUGUAUAGCCAACCUUCCAAAGAACUAUCAGUCUUCAGGAGUCCAGAUGGUCCUAAAGGCAAAUUCUGUCUAAUGUGCCACUCGAACUCUUGGAACCUUGAUUUCCUCACUGGAAAAUCAGGAUAAUAUAUCUCCUUCAUUCACAGUUUGAUGUUUUGAGGUCUUUCUUCAGGAGAAAUAAAUGCAAAGCUCUGAGCAUGGUAUCUGACAUAAUAAAACUCAACAAAUUGUCAUGUUGUUAUUGUUACUACUGUUUUCAAAUCAGGGAUGCUUGGCAAUAUAUGAAAUACUUGCAUCUGAAGUAUUUUGUAGUUUUGCACACGGAUAGGUUCUGUAAAAUAUAUCUGGAUAGCUACUUCUAAACACAAAGAGAAAAAGAACACAAGACCAGUUCUGCCAAGAAGCUGGCAUCUCUUGAGCACAUAAAAGCAUUGUAACACUACCACAUGUAAACCUCGAUGUUCACAUUUUGGACAUGGUACUGGCAACUCCCUUAUGCUGGGGCUAGGAAAUUUUUUGUGUUGUGAAGUAUUUUCAGAUUGUGAAUUGUGUCGCUUAAAUAAUGGACCAAGUUCUCAGGGUGACUUACUGUAUUAACUCAACCUGUCCCUGGGUCUGAGGUGUAAUUUUCUAGCUGCAUUCUUUCACUCAUUCUCCUACACAUUCGUUCACUUUUCCACAUGAUAGAUCAUUUUCUAGCUUAUUCAGUGUUCAAAGGGACGUUCUUCCCCUUGGCCUCAAAGAGUCUCAGUUCAGUAAGUGCUGGCAUAGCUGCAGCUAGGAUCGGUUCCAUGGAUGUGUUACUUGUGCAGUCACAGUUGGCCCCGUGCCUAGAAUGUGUUCCUCUAGCCGUCUUGAAAUUCUUAAUAAUUUUUGAAUAAGGAGCCCCCGUUUUCAUUUUGCACUGGUCCCUGCUUAUGUAGCCUCUCCUGAUUGCUCCUUUUUUACCAAUGCCAUUUAUUCUGUAGCAUCUGAGUGGACAGACAUGCGUUGGAAAGAGGCACGUUUUCUGGGUCUGCACGCUCAGGCAAGGCACAUAAUUUCCCUGGGCCUUGGUUCUCUCAGUUGUAAAUUGAUGCAGAAUAGACAUGGUGUUCAGGGCCACUGCUAAUAAUCUGCACACUUCAAGAGAGUGUAAGACAUGAGUGUCAGAUGACAUCAGGCCUGGGUUUGGGUUAUAACUGGGGUGACUAGACUCUCAAAACUUAAAGUUAUGGUAUAGGGAUUAUAUGAGAUCAAAAAAAAAAAAAAAAAAGUAGAAGUAAGGACUCUUCUUGAGAAGUUGAGCUGUAUAGCUGAAACUUUUGACCUCUAGACUAGGCCUACAUGCCGUAUGGUGAUUUUAUAACAUAGAAUCAAAUUGAUUCAGUGCUGGAAUUAUUCUGCUCAUUUCAUUUGGAUCUGUCCUUUCCUCUCUAUAGAUUUUAUGUUGAUAUCCCAGAGGAGAUGUAACUCACUCCAGGACUUUUGCCACGCUUAGGAAAAAAAUCUAUAUCUGAGACUUUAAAACUCUAAUAUACAAAUAUUGGCAUCCUUGAGAGUUCUCUAAUUUACUGCCUCAGUUUUGUAUAUUACAAGGUGAUAAACUAUUUAGCCAGCCCACUGGCAUGGGCCACUGACCAGUUAAAACAGACCCCACAAUGUGGUGCCAAGUGAAUGCUGGUUCUGGGUCUAUUCUGUGUAGUCUUUUCUCUAACAUUUUUAUUGGAGCAUAGUUGCUCUACAAUGUUGUAUUAGUUUCUGCUGUGCAGUAAGUGAAUCAGCUAUAUGCAUAUGUAUAUCCCCUCUUUUUUUUUUUAUUUCCUUCCCAUUUAGGUCACCACAGAGCACUGAGUAGAGUUCCCUGAGCUAUGCAGGUCCUCAUUAGUUAUCUGUUUUAUACGUAGUAUCAAUAGUGUAUGUAUGUCAAUCCCAGCCUCCCAAUUCAUCCCCCACUCCACUUUCCCCCUUGGUAUCCACACAUUUGUCCUCUAAGCCUGUGUCUCUAUUUCUGCUUUGUACGUGAGAUCGUCUCUCCCAGUUGUCUUCAGAUUCCACAUAUAUGCAUUAAUAUACGAUGUUUGUUUUUCUCUUUCUGACUCACUUCACUCUGACGACAGUCUCCGAGUCCAUCCAUGUGUGCGUGCUAAGUCACUUUGGUUGUGUCUGACUCUUUGUGACUGCAUGAACUGUAGCCCUCCAGGCUCCUCUGUUGAUGGGAUUCUCCAGGCAAGAAUACUGAAGUGGGCUGCUGUGGCCUCCUCCAGGGGGUCUUCCCAACCCAGGGACCAAAUGCGUGUCCUAAUGCACCUCCUGCAUUGGCAGGCAGGUUCUUUACCGCUAGUGCCACCUGGGAAGCCCAGGUCCAUCCAUGUCUUUACAAAUGACCCAAUUUCUGGGUAGUCUUAAACUUAGUUUUAACUUUUAGAAAAGGUGCUACUCUACUUAUGGUGGCCCAAAUAUCUAGUUCUGUGGAGACCCAGUCGCUCCAGGGUUCAGGAAAGAGGCACCAAUAAUGAAUCUGCAUUUACUCUGUGUGAGAACCAUGAUUUUUCUGGUUUGGUCAUUAUGACACUUUGGAACACUUGCAAACUCUGUAUUAAAACUUAUAGCUGUUUAAUGGGAAGCACAGAUUUCAGGUAUACUCAGGUUUUUUAUCAAGUUGAGCUACCAACUUGAUAAGUAAAUAUGUAUCAAAUAAAGACUAUCAAAGAAAAACAACUUUAAUUGAGAUGUAGCAAUUAUCAUUUUUAGAUAGAUCUUCAUUUCUGCCUGGAGCCACCUUCCACUUGAGCAGAUUUUAGACCGCAAGAGAAUUUGAUGCUCCAAGUGUCUCUCAUCACCCAUCUAAACAUUUAUAUCAUUUAAGUGGACCUUUUCCACUUUCCAAACAUGUUGUUGGCCUGUUUAAGUACAGAGAUGGGAGGCUGUUCUGUAAUGUUAAAGCCCACAAACAUCUCCAGUGUAAGCCACAGUACCACGGGCCAAUUAAAAUCAAAAUCUUGAUGCUACAGACUUCAUCACUUAAAUAUUAAGCAGUUUUUACUUUGACACUAAUCAAGAGGUGUUAAUGUAGAUUCUUUUAAACAACUCAAUUUAAGGUGUGUAUAUGAGAAAAAGAAUAGUAAUCUUUUUGACUUUUGAGAGCUGGAAGUAUCAUCUCUGUGGGCCUCCUAAAAGUUACUCAGUUUAGCGGUUGUUUAUUCACUUAUUUUAAUUUAAUUUAACCUCAUUUAAUUUUAGUUUAUCUUGGUAGAGAACAUCUUGACUUCUGCCUGUUUUAUUGUCUGUGUGCAAUAAGAUGCUUAACUUAGGAGCCUUGGAACCAAAUAGGAUUUUGUACUUUAGCUCCCAAGACUUUUCUUGAGCCCCUAAUGACUGGCUGACUGAUGUGUUUACAUUUAUAUUAGUGUUGAGUGGGCUCAUUCAAAAAGGGCUACAGAUAGAGCUGAUGUCUGACUUCUUGUUGCUCUAAUACCUAGAGGCAGAUUUAUGGAAUUAUCUUUCUCUGCUAUGGAAUUUAUUUUAUGACUAAGAAAAAUGGCUCAAUGUAACCAAAUUCUGAAAUGGAUUCAAUGUUCCAGCAGCCAUUUAUCUUUUAAAGUAAAUUGUAAACAGCUCUGCUUGGACAUUAGCUUAGGAAAAUGUGUAUUUAAUGUUUGGCUACACACACAAAUGAAAGUAUGUUUAAUGCUUAGAAUGGCACUUAUGUGGCUCAUGGUGAAGUAGGUUGAUGACUCCAGCAAGAAGGCUGGCAGAGAAGUCAUCCUUCUUGCCACUCCGCUCACCGGGCUAUAAGAGGAAGUUUGAAAUUUGAGUGAGCCAGGUCUUUCUUCUCCAUUUUCCUGUGCAUGUUUUUAGGAUAGAGAAAGGAGACCUUAAAGCCAGUGUUUAAACAACCAGGGUAAAAAUGGGUUUGGCUUUAAAUAUCCAAGGACACAAUUGCAAUCAAUUACCUUUUGCUUUUACUGGCAUGCACUUGAUCACUGAGAAGUCUAAACCAGGUUUUCUUUCUCCUAUGUGACUAGAAUUCUUAAUUUUUAAUGCAAAAGACAAACACCAUCUUACUAGCACCAGGAGUACAGCAGUGAUUUUGAAUUGGGGUGGAUCUUUGUGAAAAUCAGAUUAAAGUUCACUUUAAAAGUAGAAACUGUUGUUGCUGGUUUUAUUUUAGCACUUUAUAUUUUGGAAGCCUAGGAAAGAAAAAAUU